AGGAAAGUACCUCAAUUGGCAGAGGACCCGGAGUAAUGACCCGGACAGCUGAGGGUUCAAGCCCCUCCUUUCCUA
rnacentral:tRNA from 1 species